GGUCUCCAGUGGAUCCCUAUGGGUGUGACUUGGGUUGUCUGCAUGCUAGAGGCUACCUAAGUGCUGGAUUCUAUAUAUGGUUUGAUCCCUUCCAUCCUCACUGAAGCGCAGCUGCCUCUGGGCUGGGCUUUAGCAGCUGUUGAACAUUGUACAGCAUCAUGAUUUGAAGUUGGGAUAAGAGGUGAAGAAAACCCUGUCUAGUCGAACCCAGGAGGGAGGGACAGGCCCAGAACCGAUGCAGCUUUCACAGGCCUCAGGGGAGCCAGCACCUCUGCUCGUCCUUCUUUCUCUGCGCUGCCUUUCUGCUGAGAUCCAGGCAGGACCUUCCAUCAGGUCAGGCACUUCCCCUGACGCUCCAGAGCUUGGAGUAACCUUUUGUGCUUGGGCCUUCGAGCUGGGAUGGCAGGGAUGCAUCCUGAGCAAGGCAGGGAUGCUUCAAAGUCAACACACUCAGUGUCGAGAGCGGCACUGGAAAGCGCAUCCCCUGAGCGCAUAAAGCAGAACUCUCAUCCAAGUCAGUGUGAUUAGCCAGACAGGUGGGUGAUUUUUGCCAUGACCCCAAGACUUGAAACCAUCCCCAUUAGCACUGAGACCACAGACUCAGCUCUGGGAAGACUGGCACAUGGCAGCAGGCAGGACAGAUGGAUCAGGGCUGCAGGAGGGGAAAGCAAUAAAAAGACUGAGCAGCAGGGGCGACCUUGUUGGCAGUGUGCUUCCAAUGGGCAAGAAAAUGAGAACUGAGAUGGAGGCUCCUGGUAUUUGUAUUAACACUGCCCACAGGGCUCAGGCUUACUGAGAGCCUCACCAUCCAUAAGAUGGGACUGGAUCACUAGGGCUGUGUGCGGCCAAAGGGCUGGAGGUCACAAGGAACUCUACUGACUCGUCGGUGUAGAGCACUUGGAAAACAAAGAGGCAGAAUUUACAGCAGAUUUGCCCUGCUGGUCCCUCGCUCUUUCUGUAGGUUCCCAACCAGCCACCUGGAGCUCGUGUCCUCACCUUCCACUUCUAGAGCCCUGGGCAUAUAUUCCUCUUGGGACAUAUGCAUAACAAAUAUGUCUCAGUCCAAGUAUAAAUGAGUACCUGUCCCCAUCAGGAACACUGGUGUUCUUGAUCAUCUCAGAGUGAUCUGGGCUGGCAUCGAAGAGCCUCACCAAAACAGUUUAUUGGGAGCCCAGGACGGGCUUAGCAUCACAGAAGUUUGGCUGUGGUUAAAUGUUAGGUCUAGCCCAUGUGCAGUAUGAACAUGUAACAGCCAGCGUUCUCUCAGCAGUGGAAACCUUUGUUUAGCCACAUGGCUGAGUAGUUGCUCAAGAAGCAGCUACUCCAUUACUCCUGUCCCUGAGACCCGGUCUGUUUUGCUGCAUCUUGAUACCAUCGGAUUUCUUCCCUUAUCAUGUGUUGGUGAUGGUAGGCAAACAGCAGUUCCUAAACGCAAACGCUGCCUCUGGGUCCCUUCCACUGACAAGCUGCUCUGGGGCUUUCUCCUAGUGCUCGUGGAAGCUGUCUGCAAGAGCUGAGCUCUUCUAGGCCUAGUAAGGUGGAACCUCACGGCACUUUCUUCAGGGGCUUUUAGUUUUCUCUGUAUCAAAUACCAGGGCCCAUGGUUAAAGCGACAAGCUCAGGUGCAGCUUUAGCCCAGACUAGACUAGGGUAUUGCAUGACAGACACUUCAGGGACUGCAGCUUUCGUGAGCUGUGCAGGCCUCUGAGCUUGUUCUGGGAAACCUGUCUGUCAGUCAAGGCGCUCCAUGGCUGGCAGCAUCUGGUUGCCUUCAGCAGGGCUGUAGUUUGGGAUUACGUUGGUAGGAUUUCAAACCAGCACCUCAUACCCAGUCCCAAACCCAGUAGGAGAUGCGCUGAGGUGGAGGCGGCCCUGCUGAUUGUAUUACCCAUGCUAAUAGCAUUUAAUAGAGCCGUAGAUUGCUUUCAAUUAAGAAGUUGGCUGAAGCUGUUUACUUAUUUCCAGCUCCUGGUUCUGUAAUCAGGGUGUUCGGGCCUUGCUCAAAGCCCUGAGUCUGACUAUUUACCAGGAAGCCCCAGCUGUGACUAUUUUAAAGGGCCACUGUCAAUUUAAAUUGAAAUUAUGUAACAGCCAGUUGUGGGAUUUAAGCAUUUAAUUCCUUAACACUUAAUUGUAAUGGAACUAGUCAAAUUCCUUUAGGCUGCUUUAAAAAAUCUCAAACCAAACUUUAAUUAAACCAAUUACCUAUAGAAAUAUACUCACCAUUACUAUGGGUAAUAGUGUUAUCAUUUUUACUCUAUGCCUGUAUUUAUAAUACUUAAUAUAUCAGUAUAUAUAUUCUAGUCAAUAAAAACAGCAACAUUAACUCUGACAGCCUUAAGAAUGCUGGUAAUGAACCAAACCUCUCACUCAUUCUUGAUGGCAAUGAAAAAGGCUGUUUUUACUAGCUGCCGUGUUCUGCAUGCCCCAUGACAUGUACUGUAAACCUGGACAGCUUUAUAAUGAUGGUAAUGCUAAUAAUGACAGUUGCUGUUGCUGUGGCUAUUGAUAAGUGGUUUUUUGCAUGAGUGCCAGUCAUGGACCGCCAUUGUACUAGAGGCUGUAUAAAAGCUUCUAAGUGGAGUGUCCAUGUACGUCAUGAGUACAUGCAAUUGCAAAUGUUUUAAAUGAUCGUUCCCCUGCUCUGUGUGCAGAAGAGCAGAUGAAAUGUGCUAUGGGCAGCAUUUCAGGAGGUAGAAGAAUGAUGGGAUUCUUCUAUGGCAGAUGAUUUUGGAAUUGGCUAUGUCGUAUUAAGCAUGCACCAUGCAAAAGGGAAUGUAAGAAGAUGGUUCCUGGUACCUGGUUCCUAUUUCCCACUCUCCAAGUCAGCCUGCACAUUUUACAGGUCAGACUCCAAGCCUUACUCCUACCCAGGGGAGGCCUGACCCAAAGCUUUUUGAAGUCAGACUCCCUGCCUCAAACAGGCUUUGGAUCAAGUCUCUGAACACGCAAUAGGAAUAUUCCACUUCUCUGUAAUGCAAUCAGUGUGUUUCAAAAUGAAUCAUCUGUAUCCUGGAAACAGUAGCCAACUUCAGCCUCUUUGUAAGAGAACUAGGAUCCCCAUCCUACCUAAGGACCUGAAAUAAGUUACCACUUUCAGCCUUGUCUGUUGAUAAGUAUGAACCUGACAGCCCUUCUAGCAUUCAGUGAGACUCUAAAGCUAGUACUGAUGUGAAAUCUGUCUGCUAGGCUGCAGCAUCGACAAGAAGCCUUUUUUUCAGCGUGUCUCUCUCAAUCUGCCAAGAGCCCCAGGUAGCAGAGGCAGAGCAGCCUGGGGCUGGGACGUUACAUUCUGAAAAACUGCAGACUAAAUAAAAUAUUAAUAAUUAAUAUGAAUUAAUGUCUUGUAUAAACCUUGCACCCCAGCCUCUUGCAAACAAAGAAGGAGGUGCUGUCAACCUGACUUCAGCCAAGCAGCUAAACAGCAAGGUUUUGCCUAACCUAAGAUCAAUAGCAUUAUUUUCAGUGCUGGUUUUUUUGGGGGCUUUUUUGGUUUCACCCAAUGUGAACAGCCUUUGUUUAGAGGAAACUUUUCCCAGCAUUGUCUGCACCCCCGCAGAUGUGGCACAGCCUGAGCCAGGAUGUGAAAACUGCCACCGACAAGAGAGAAAAACUCAUGUAUUUUCCCUGAUCAAACCAAACAAUCGGUUCAAUAAACCCUCUUAAUGAGAUGGAAGAAACAAGAGAGCUGCCUUUUAUUAUUAAUUAUUUAAGGCAGUAUUAAUAAAACACAAAGAUAUUUUUAAUAUGUUAUUUCACUGUUGAUGGGGUCUCUUUAAAAUGCAGUUACUUGAAAAUACUUCUGUGCAGGAAUCAAUCCUUCAACACAUUCUACCUAUGGUUUGCAAAGUGCUGUGGGAACAGAG